rnacentral:rRNA from 1 species
UACGAGGGGCGCAAGUGUUGUUCGGAAUCACUGGGCGUAAAGGGUGCGUAGGCGGCGCGGUAAGUCGGGUGUGAAAUCUCGGGGCUUAACUCGGAAAGGUCAACUGAUACUGCGGGGCUAGAGUGCGGAAGGGGCUACUGGAAUUCUCGGUGUAGCGGUGAAAUGCGUAGAUAUCGAGAGGAACACCUGCGGCGAAGGCGGGUAGCUGGGCCGACACUGACGCUGAUGCGCGAAAGCCAGGGGAGCGAACGGG